CUCUAAGAAUAAACUUAAUGGCUUUUCCGUGCCAAGGUCGCAAGCAAGGAGAGUCUUGCAUGGCAGUUAGUAAAAGGAAAACAGAUUCAGUGGAAAUAAAUAGGAUGUAUUAACUUUCAGAGCAAGUUAUGUAUCAUGAAAUGAAUGAGAAGAUACAGCAGGCCAGUGGAGCCAUACGAUAUCAGCAUCGCAUACCUUGUAGCUGCAUGUAAUGAUUUUUGCCAAAGGCAACAUACCGAAUCGAGCUUCACCCACCC